rnacentral:rRNA from 1 species
UACGGGGGGGGCAAGCGUUGUUCGGAAUUACUGGGCGUAAAGGGCUCGUAGGUGGCCAACUAAGUCAGACGUGAAAUCCCUCGGCUUAACCGGGGAACUGCGUCUGAUACUGGAUGGCUUGAGUUCGGGAGAGGGAUGCGGAAUUCCUGGUGUAGCGGUGAAAUGCGCAGAUAUCAGGAGGAACACCGGUGGCGAAGGCGGGACUCUGGGCCGAUACUGACGCUGAGGAGCGAAAGCGUGGGGAGCGAACAGG